CGCUGGCGGCAUGCCUUACACAUGCAAGUCGAACGGCAGCGCGGGGCAACCUGGCGGCGAGUGGCGAACGGGUGAGUAAUAUAUCGGAACGUACCCUGGAGUGGGGGAUAACGUAGCGAAAGUUACGCUAAUACCGCAUACGAUCUAAGGAUGAAAGUGGGGGAUCGCAAGACCUCAUGCUCCUGGAGCGGCCGAUAUCUGAUUAGCUAGUUGGUAGGGUAAAAGCCUACCAAGGCAUCGAUCAGUAGCUGGUCUGAGAGGACGACCAGCCACACCGGAACUGAGACACGGUCCAGACUCCUACGGGAGGCAGCAGUGGGGAAUUUUGGACAAUGGGCGCAAGCCUGAUCCAGCAAUGCCGCGUGAGUGAAGAAGGCCUUCGGGUUGUAAAGCUCUUUUGUCAGGGAAGAAACGGUGGAUCCUAAUACGAUCUGCUAAUGACGGUACCUGAAGAAUAAGCACCGGCUAACUACGUGCCAGCAGCCGCGGUAAUACGUAGGGUGCAAGCGUUAAUCGGAAUUACUGGGCGUAAAGCGUGCGCAGGCGGUUUUGUAAGUCUGUCGUGAAAUCCCCGGGCUCAACCUGGGAAUUGCGAUGGAGACUGCAAGGCUAGAAUCUGGCAGAGGGGGGUAGAAUUCCACGUGCAGCAGUGAAGUGCGUAGAGAUGUGGAGGAACACCGAUGGCGAAGGCAGCCCCCUGGGUCAAGAUUGACGCUCAUGCACGAAAG
rnacentral:rRNA from 1 species